GAUAUGACCCAUAGACGUCAUCGACAUGGGGGAGAGUGGAUAAAUGACAAGGCUCGAGAGCAUCAUGCUACAUUAAAAGCAAAGCUUAAAGAACAAUCGCAGCCUAAUGUCACUAAUCCUUCAUCCGAGCGACAAAUUUUCGUUGAUGUGCUUGGAAAGAGGUCAGUUUAUGUGAAGGAAUACGGGAGCCGCAUGAGUACUAUUUCAUCAUUCAAUCAACCUCAAGAACCUGAUCCCGAGGCAAGUGUUCUAUAGAAGAAGGUUGACGAUCAAGCUAAGACCUUGACUAAGCAUUCUCGGACAAUGACAGUAGUUCAAGGCCUUCUUCAGGUGUUGGCUAUAAAAGCAGGGGUUGAUCCAGCCCAAGUUCAGGAGGUGAUCGAUAGGUGCAAUAGUGAGGCGGGCACAUCAGAUGAAGAGGCGGAUGCGAUGGGCAACUCAAACGAAUUAAACACAUUAGAUGAAGAGGAUGAUGAGGCAAGCAUAUCAGGUGAAGAGGAUGAUGCAACUUCUACUGGAUAAGUUAAAGGUUGAUGAUGCAUUGGUUUGGCAAGGCAAUGCGAUGGAAUCACUUAAUGUUUUCGGAUCAUAUAUAUUUUUUAUAAUAGCUUUGUUGGUAGGAUACUUGGAUAUGGUAGACUUGGUAAAUUACUCUUGGCUAUUGAAAUGUAUUGACAAAGUUCCUUUUUGGAUAUUUUAGACUGUUAGUUUCUUUUGGGAUGUACUUGGAUACAUAUGGUAUUGAUUUUGUUGAAAUUUGAUAACAGAUUCUAUG